GUGCAGCCACAGAGGCUGGUGUGAUGUGAUAAUGUGCUGGUUGUGUGAACAUCGUCUUCUAACAAAGACACUAAUAUUUACAUAGAGGAUGUGACUAUAGGAUAAUCGUCGUUGCCAAAUGUGUGGAGAGUUGUGCGAGAAAACACAGGAUUAGAAUAGCCUAAAAGCGAUUAAUUAAUCGGAAAAGAUGGCACAGCUUAGAAAAGAAGUUAGUUUAGAUUCUCAAGAAAGAAACAUUAUGUUUUUAUGACUAAGAUAGAGGAAAAUGAGACUGCUCAUUGUAUAAAUCAUGGUUCCAAUACAGAUAGAGAGGUCAACCCCUUGUCAAUAUAAAUCCUAGUCUAGAAAUAAACAGACAAGACCAAUACUUCAGUUACAUCUUGUAGGACACUUUUUUCUAUGCGAAAAUCUAACAGUAUUACUAGUGAUCGAUAAAAAAAAUUCAAAAAUUACAAUGAAUCUUCGAUACUUUUCUUGUCUUGUCAACUAUAAUAAGGAAAGUAAGUGACGUACUGAUAUAAACCGAAAUAUU